GGAUCGCUAGCUCAAUUGGUAGAGCAAUGGCCUUUUAAGCCAGUGGUUCCGGGUUCAAGUCCCGGGCGAUCCACCA
rnacentral:tRNA from 1 species